GCAUUUUUACCCUCCUGAGAGACAACAGAUGGUGUGCAGACCCACCAGUUUCCAUCGAAGACCAUCCCUCGGCAGGGAGGGUAACUCUGGCCCAGGUAGAGCUGUUCUAUGCAGGGGGUGAGCGUGGAGGGACAUCUGGGGUCUCUCCCCACCUCCACCGUGGUAGGACCACAGCCCCAGACAAAGGUCUCAGCGAGUCAACACACCACAGACGUUCUGUGCUGAUGGAGAAGCCCUCAAAAUGGCUCUCCAAUCAGUCAUUUUUCUCAUCCACUUCUUGAUCCCAACUGCGCAAGCUGUUUGUUCCAACUGUGACCCGUGCCUCCGCGUCUCUGAAGAGUGCUGCAGUGAGUUAAAGCCCUUUGAUGAUGGCUGCAGUGUUUGGAUUUCCUCAAAGGGACCCCUCAAGCUGGCUGCAGCCCCCACUCCUCAGAAGAACUGUCUUCACACAGCCUCUCUGCCUCCAAGUUCUGGGAAGGAUCCUCUCCCUCUUUAGGAUUUGAGGUGCGGAGAGCAGAACAGAA